rnacentral:rRNA from 1 species
AGGGGGAUAUUGCACAAGGGGCGAAAGCCUGAUGCAGCGAAGCCGCGAGGGGGAUGAAGGCCUUCGGGGUGUAAAGUACUUUUAGCGGGGAGGAAGGGAGUAAAGUUAAUACCUGUGCUCAUUGACGUUACCCGCAGAAGAAGCACCGGCUAACUCCGUGCCAGCAGCCGCGGUAAUACGGAGGGUGCAAGCGUUAAUCGGAAUUACUGGGCGUAAAGCGCACGCAGGCGGUUUGUUAAGUCAGAUGUGAAAUCCCCGGGCUCAACCUGGGAACUGCAUCUGAUACUGGCAAGCUUGAGUCUCGUAGAGGGGGGUAGAAUUCCAGGUGUAGCGGUGAAAUGCGUAGAGAUCUGGAGGAAUACCGGUGGCGAAGGCGGCCCCCUGGACGAAGACUGACGCUCAGGUGCGAAAGCGUGGGGAGCAAACAGG